CCUACGUGAGGCAGCAGUGGGGGAUAUUGCACAAUGGGGGGAACCCUGAUGCAGCGACGCCGCGUGGGUGAAGAAGCGCCUCGGCGCGUAAAGCCCUGUCAGCAGUGAAUUGACGGUUCCUGCAAAGGAAGCACCGGCUAACUCCGUGCCAGCAGCCUCGGUAAUACGGAGGGUGCGAGCGUGACUCGGAAUUACUGGGCGUAAAGCGCUCGUAGGGGGUAUGUUAAGUCAAGUGUGAAAGCCCCGCGCUCAACGUGGGAACUGCCUUUGAAACUGGCAAACUGGAGUGUGUGAGAGGAUAGUGGAAUUCCAGGUGUAGGAGUGAAAUCCGUAGAUAUCUGGAGGAACAUCAGUGGCGAAGGCGACUAUCUGGCACAUAACUGACGCUGAGGAGCGAAAGCGUGGGUAGCAAACAGGAUUAGAUACCCUUGUAGUC
rnacentral:rRNA from 1 species